UGACUUCCUGAGUGUUUCUCUCAUUACUAAGGAGCUGGGUCACCUUUUCUGUGUGUGCUGCCACGGGCCCGAGGCAUUAGCGGCGUCCUCAGCUCCUGGGCCUGCUGAGCUCUGACCCACUCUCGGGUGUCUCAGAGGUGGCUGGUUCACUUCGAGAAGCCCAGGGAACAGAUUCUUCCUGAAUGAGUUUCGGAGAACAACCUGCACUCUGGCAGCUUCCCAGCAGCUGGAAGUGGAGGCGGGAGGAGACCCGAGGUCGGGAGUCUCCUCCAGGGACUGAGCGUUUAUGGUCUGAGCCUCCUUUUCCGUGGGAUUAUUUCUUUAUUGGUUAUUUGCAUGCAUUCUUUCUAUUUUUUGGAUGUACCCUUUUGUUUGCAUUGGUUGUAAAUAAUUGAAAUUGCUUCUUUCAUAGAUGGGAUGUGACGCAUAUGGUCAGAGGUGAACAUCACCCGUAUUCCCCAACGCCGAAGUCCAAGUUACAAAUCCUGGGACAUCGAGUCCUCCCCUCCCAAGCUUGCUCUGGAUCUGGAGGGGCUAGCUCUGAACUGGAGAAGGGCCUGCCACGCUCUCCCCGUCCUGUUCCUCUACGCACAGAGCAUGUUUCACUCUUCAGGUGUCUUGGUCAAAAGCAGGGCCCAUCUCAGGACUGUCCAGCAACCCUGAGGUCUGCAGGUCCCACCCUCCUCCAAGCUGCCAGUGUCUGCCUGGGGCCAGGUCACCACCGCCUGCCCGAGAGGGACCCAGAAGGGGGAGCUUGGCCGGGUCCACCACUCACCCUGUGGGCCUCAGAAGCUCCAGAGCCCCAAGUCAGACAGUCUCCUGGGAGCGUGCUGAACCGGGGUUUGUAAUUGUUUUUUUGUUUGUUUUGUUUUUUGUUUUUUUUCAGAUGGAGUCUCGCUCUGUCUCCCAGGCUGGAGUACAGUGGCGUGAUCUCAGCUCACUACAACCUCUGCCUCCCGGGUUCAGGCGAUUCUCCUGCCUCAGCCUCCCGAGUAGCUGGGACUACAGGUGCAUGUCACCACGCCCAGCUAAGUUUUGUAUUUUUAGUAGAGACGGGGUUUCAUCAUGUUGGCCAGGAUGGUCUCGAUCUCUUGACCUCGUGAUCUGCCUGCCUCUGCCUCCCAAAGUGCUGAGAUUACAGGCAUGAGCCACCACACCAGGCCGUACUUGUUUUCAUUGUGACUUAAAUUAAACUUCAAGCUCUUAAUCCCAUGGUCCCUGUAACAGGAUGUCUGUGGCAAGUAUGCUGCCCUCUGCCCCCUACAAACUCUAGAGCACCGUGAGGCCUCCACCUGCUUCCACGUGAGAGGAGCCGCAGGUGGAGGAGGCCAGCUGAGAAAUGUCCCAUUUUAGGAUUUUAUGCACCUUUUGAAGUUAAGUACAGAAUUGAGCGGAAAUGACACCCAGACGGGGAAGCCACUCGUGGGCAGAAGGAAGCUGCAGCCUGGAAAUGGAGAACAUUCCAGAAACUGGCAAGGCUGCCCUGGAGCAGGGCUGGGGGCAUCUCACUCAUGAAUCUCACAUCCACGACAGAAAGAAGUUCACGGAUCGGCACACCCGAGGCCAUUUCCCAACCCCCGUGUGUCAGGAGCCCAGGCCCCAUCUGGCUGUGACCUCAGAGAGCCACCAGCACUCAGGGCUCCAGGGCAAGGGCUGGGGGCAGACAGACUCCACCUGGCACGGUGGGUUCAGGGCAACAGCAUCUCAAGCGAGGUGUGUGCAGCUUGGAGCUGGAGGUCUUCCACGCCGCCACUGACCUGGUGUUGGAGCUGGAGGUCUUCCACGCCGCCACUGACCUGGUGUUGGAGCUGGAGGUCUUCCACGCCGCCACUGACCUGGUGUUGGAGCUGGAGGUCUUCCACGCCGCCACUGACCUGGUGUUGGAGCUGGAGGUCUUCCACGCCGCCACUGACCUGGUGUUGGAGCUGGAGGUCUUCCGCCACCACCGACCUGGAGCCGGGCGGCUGCUGUCACGUGCAACCUCAAAAUGCCUGCGUGACGGAGAGACAGGAAACAUCACUCCCAUCUUUAGCAGCAAGGGAAGGUGCUCAGGGUGGGCACACGACCCACCCAGCAUCUUGGAGCCUAUGAGUGUCCUCUGAGACUGAAGAUUUCAAAGCUGGCCACAAUGUUUCUGGGUCGUCUGUGGGCUCCUGUCUGUGAGAUCCAGCAUCUUACACUUCACGCCCCAAGUCUCAGGGGAAAAGGGCGGAAAGAGAUGCCUCUCUUAGGGAAA
rnacentral:lncRNA from 1 species